ensembl:lncRNA novel transcript
GGGCUCCGAGCCCAGCUCCACUGGCCCCGGCCGCGGGGCUCGCCCCUCCGUCCCCAAACGACCGUCUCCGCUGCCAUGAGAUGCCGACAGCCUGUGCGCUGGCCGCCACCCCCUGCUCCAUCAGGUGCUGGAAUCUGAGUAAAAGCCUGGGCGCGAGCUCCCAGCCCCGGGGCCUGCCACCGGCUCCACGAAGCGGGCAGCUCCAGCGGCCGCCGGGAGAAGGAAGGGCGACCGGGGGAGACGGGUCGCAGGGACAGCACGUGGCGGAAAGUUAGCCCCGGACUAGCACGCCCCACCCGGAGAAGCCGGCCUGGAAGGGGCUGCGGACCACCAGGCGGAGCGGUGGGCGACCGAAGUGCGGCUGGGCUGGCCUCCUCGUCUCCGCACUGGAAGAAUUGCCCUUCCGCAAGUCUUCCCUUCCCACAUGGGGGCCCUCCAGGCCGCACCUCGGUCGCCCACCGCUUCCCUUGAGAAGGGAGACUAAAGACAGGCAUCUGGAAGCUGUCACUGUGGCGCGCGGGCAGACAGGGGAUCCCAUUGGAGAGGAAGAGCCGUAGUAGUCGCUGCUGCCUUCGGCCGACCCAACGGCCGCCUGCUUGGGAGGAAGAAAAAGAACGCCCCCGCUGAAGAAUUAAGGCAGCCAUUGGUUGCUCUAGGGGUAAGGACCGAGGCCUCCCCUGGGUGUCACUGGAGCAGCCACACGUGGGGGAUCAGCCGACUUCAUUCGAUCGCUGGCGACAGACCCGGCGACCCGUAGGAAUGCGCGCUGGGGCUGCGGCUGGAGGGCGUGGCGACGGCAACAGGCGGGUGGCUCGAGUGGGUGCGACUCUGGGCGCGUGGGACUGAGAACUCCUCCGCCGUGGGGAAGAUUUUUUUCCCAGCAGAUGUUGGGGUGUUACUGCGUGUCUGAGGGGCCGGCGGAAUGGAGGGGUCCCGGUGCGUGCAGGGCAGCGAGGUGUGUCAGAUGAGCUGUGGAUCCCUGCGGCCCCACGUGGGCCGGAGAGGGGGGCCCACGACAACAAGCGAUUGAGGACAGCGAUGGACAGGGCGGGGAACCAGCUGGGUGGAAGCACAGGGAGUGUGGUGAGGAGGGAAGGGCUGUGAUCUGCCCUCGGUACGACGCCCCAAGGGACAGCCUGGCCUCCUGAAUUAGGGAAAAGACAACCGGUCUCUUUAGACGGGCGCCUCAGAGUCUGACCUGAGUCUUCAAACGCCCAGAUCCCCUGGGGCCUUGAGUCUCCCUGUCCCGCUGGCCCUGCCUCGCCUGCGCUUCAGGACUCCGACGCCCCCGCAGCCUUGGGCUAAGGGUCAGUCGUCCCCGGGCGCGGGUCCGGCUGCCCUGGAACUGAUGCUGGAUUUCGCUGGUAGGUGGGCUAGGGGCUUGGUCACCCCGUCUGAAUUCCACUGUCAGGACAGCUGUGGAACCGCCAGAGAAAAGUCUGGCCAUGAAAGAAAGGUGAGGGGCGCCGACGCAGAGCUUAUUUAUUCAGUCUGUGGGCGGACUCAGACGUGCAGAGCACCAACCUCUUCAAUUUCUGCCCUCUAGACUCCAAAUCUUUUGAAAUUAGGGACCACCAUUUUAUGCCAAACAUACAGUAGGCGCUCAAUAAGUGUUGAAUUAAGAUUACACAUAAAUGGGCCGGGCGCGGUGGCUCACGCCUGUAAUCCCAGCACCUUGGGAGGCUGAGGUGGGCCAACAUGGUGAAACCUUGGCUCUAAAAAAAUGCAAAAAUUAGCCAGGCAUGGUGGCGCUUGCCUGUAGUCCCAGCUACUAUAGAGGCUGAGGUGGGAGAGUCGCUUGAACUCUGGAGGCGGAGGUUGCAGUGAGCCGAGAUCGCGCCACUACACUCCAGUCUGGGUGACGCAGUGAGACCCUGUCUCAAAAAAUAUAUAAUAAUAAGAUUACACACAGAUGGGUGCUGUGCAAAGGGAGGGGGAAGACAAAUACUUUCUUCUGCAGCUCUGGUACAUGGACAUUUUGUCCUUUCUCCAUAAGGAGGAUCAGACAGCAGCAGCACUGCCCAUGGACCAGAGGCCUCAUGUAAGGCCUGGGAAAAGAGGGCUCCACACACCACCAACCGGAUGUAAGGGCAGUUGCAAAGGAACUGUGUUAUCUUGACCAGAACAGACUGUAGAAUUUGUUUAUCAAAUUUUUUUUUUUUACUUAUUUAUUUUGUGAAUGUAUAUGCUGUAAACUCAUCUGCUUAGAUUGUAAGAAUGUGAAUGCCCUACCUUGGUGGGUAGGUUAGUUUAUUCUAAUCAGCAAAACUUAACGUUACAUAUUCCAACAUCUCAUUUGGGAUGUGAAGAUGCUAUGGGGAGGGUGGGUAUCCUGGCAUUGCUAGAAUGUUGGAGCCUUAGCGAGAGAGUGGCAGAGUGGGGAGAACCUGGCACUUCAGCUACAGAUGAUCACUUAUGAGCUUUGUUAUAUCAAAUAAGUUAAACUUUCAUCUCAUUUUUUUUUUUUCUAUUGUAAAAUAGGGUAGUAACAGUGAGUCCUGGGGGAGGACGUGUUCUGUUAGCCAGAUCCACUCUCCAACCUGCUGUCUGUCCUUUGGAGCCUUAACUCAAGAGACUUUCUUUCCCUCUAGCUUCCAGUUGAGUGAAGGCACUAGGAAGCAACAGCGAUGGAACAAAGAGGAAGGAGUAUGGUUAUUUAUUCCCCCCUGGCUCCCUUACUAUGGCACCAUUGCAGGCUGGUUGCCUCCCUCAACCAAAGGAAGCAGCCAGUAUCCCUCCCUAGGGUGACCCAGAGUAAACCCCUAUGGUUUCCCUUCAUUUUGCACAUACCUUUGCAGAUAGUCUUUUUAUAAAACUCUACUCACAUUAUCCAGUAGGAAUGAACAUCUCAUUCCUUCACAGAAUUGUUUUGAGAGUUAACUGAGAAAAUACUGUAUUAUUAUUAUUAGAAUGACCUAUAAUUUCUGUCCAAACUGAGAAACUUUUGAGGCUGGGAAAAGGGGGUUUGUGCUGAUAGUAAUGAUGUCAGGACAAUAGGAAAAACAAGGACUUAUGGCCACCCCAGCUAUUAUUGCCAGUAAACUCUGCUUUAGACAUAUUAAGCAAUCAAGAAGUGGUCGUACUAUCACGCUUCUGUCACUAGACUAUGAAUGUCUCAAGGUAAGAGUGCUUUUUUGUCUAUUAGCUUCUGUCACAUGGUCUGGUAUAUUCAAUAAAUUUUGAGUUGGAGAUGAGGG